CACCAGCGCCACUAGUGGGGACCGCUAUUAUUGGGCCUAAAGCGUCCGUAGCCGGAUAGGUAAAUCUCUUGUGAAAUUGUUAGGCUUAACCUAACAGCGUGCAGGAGGCACUGCCAAUCUAGAGACCGGGAGGAGUCAGAGGUAUUCGCGGGGUAGCGGUAAAAUGCGAUAAUCCCGUGAGGACCACCUGUGGCGGAGGCGUCUGACUAGAACGGGUCUGACGGUGAGGGACGAAAGCUGGGGGAGCGAUCCGG
rnacentral:rRNA from 1 species